UGUUUGUGUAUUAUUUUUGCUUCCCUUUCCUUAUGUUCAUCUGUUCUGUGUCUUAAAGGCCUCAUAUGAGUGAAGUCAUAUGAUAUUUGUCUUUCUCUGACUAAUUUUGCUUAGCAUAACGCUAGGGAGUCAAUUUCUUAAGAAUGUCUUUUAAAAACUAGGAGAUUCAAGUAAGCUAGAAUUCUUUUGCCUGGUCUUGACUGGUAUUAUUUCAGUUGUCUCAGGGAGAGAACUGAUGCAAUCAAAUCAAAUGGACUUUGAGGCUUUUAGCAAGUUCAGGACACCAAGCGCCCCUGGGGAAGUAACUUAGACAAGAAGGAACCCAAGAGAACUGGAUGGUCUUAAGUAAUUUUAGAAGAAGAAGCUGUGUCAGUGCACAUCAAACACAGAAUCCUAGAUAGCCCCUGUCGAACCUGGAAGCGAACCAGUACCUUGAGCCAAGGGAGAAAAACCACAAAAAAGUGCUACCAGUCCAAAUUGCUGGAGGUUUAAGGGGGAAAACAGUUGUGUCAGGGUCAGAAAAUGCAAUGCCGGAAGGAAGUUUUAAAAGAGAUACGAGAAGCAAGACAGUUCUGUUCUUUCACCCAUACAGCGUCUUCCUAAUGUGUGCGUUCAUCAUGUUAGCACCCUCCUUUGUAGGUGUGCUGCAGGUAAACACAAUUGAAAAAGAUGCUUGAACAGUUUAAGAUGAUUCAGCUUGUCACAGUGUUCUGUUUACGUAGGAGGCCAAGUAAACCGUGUCUCCUCUCCGAAUUAGAGUCUGUUUCAGUCGUGAGGAGAAAACUCCAGAAGCCUUUCAAGCUUUAACUCACACGGAUAUUCCGUAUAAGGCUCGAGGGAAAAGUCAUGUGUCUCCUUGGGAGGCAGACUUGAUUGGAAAAGCAGGGCUUCUUCCUUUCCAUGUCAUUCUGUCUCACUGGUCCGGUUACCAGUGCAAGGACGAUAUGCCGUGACAAAGUCGAUAGAAUGUCAGGUUGCAGAAGAAAGUGAGUUGGUUGAAAAAUGCUCUUGAAGUCGAUUUAGUCAGGUUGUCUGAGUUGUUGCAGAACCAGUUCCCCGCCCCCAUCCCCAACUUGUGGAGAACAGAUGGAAAAAGGAAAAUAGUUUAUCUUUCAACAAGAGAAAUGGUGGCCCUGCUAAAUUUAAACUCUUUGGCUUUAACUUGCGACAUCUGGGAAAAUACUCAAAUCCGUUAAUCAUCUAGUUUGUAAUCACCUCGAAGAAGAGCCCAAGGUCCAGGAUAGUCCCCUCUGUAUGGGACUCUGAAGGGCAAAUGUUGCCAGCCUGAUUUCAUUUCCUUGAAUAAAAGAUUUUUUUACACAAGUCUUGUCAAGGAGAGGGAAGCAACUUGUAUUUUCUCUCCCUGGAUCCCAGGAAGACUUGGGCGGAGCUUUUCAGGGGAGCAUCCAAAUGGGCUUUCGGGCGUGUGUGCCCAGAAUGGGUCAGUGCAGUGGCUCAGCACCGAGUCAGAGGGACAGAGAGAGAGCCUGGCAUGUGACAACCUAUAAUAUAGAAGGAUUAUUUGUGCUCUUUGAAAAGAUUCACUGUGAUUCCCUUUCACACCCAGCACAGAGCCCAACGCAGGGCUCGAACUCGCGACCCUGAGAUCAAGACCUGAGCAGAGAUCAAGAGUUGGAUGCUUAACCGACUGAGCCACCCAGGCACCCCUUCAUUUAUUUCUCGAUUUGCAAGUUAUUCCAUUCAUGUCAUUUUUAAGGGGCACUUCUCUUGUGGAAAGUUAGAUGUAGCUGCCCUAAAUGUGUUCCUCAGUUACCUUAGAUGAGGAGAUUCGUAGCGUGUUCCUUAAAUUUGCACAUGACACUGAGCCUAACAAGGUCAUUUGUAUUUUGGAAUUGGAUUACGAGUGACCUUUAGAGAUGGGAGCAGGGCCUUAAUAAGGUUGCAGAGGAUAGUAGGACAUAGUUCUUUUGGGCAGAUUCUCUCCUUUCUGUGCUGAUGUGAGUGGACGAUAAAUGGCUAGUGGCUAGUCUGGAGCUGGGACAGAACCCAAGGCACUGGUAGACUGAAAAGCCCAUACUUCUUCUGUUGGCAUUCAAAGACGUUUUCAGUUGCCAAUACACAUUUCAACCAGGCCCGAACUAACGUACUGAUUCAGAUGUGAGUGGUUUUCUUUCCGUAAGCCAGAUUUAUAUAAAGGUAUGGAAUUACAAGAUACAAAAACCCAAAGGGACCUUCCAGUUGGGUUGUCAACCUUUUCGUUGCUUAGAUGAGACAACAGCCCCAGUAAGGGAUAAACGACUUACUCUGGACCAGUUGCUUUGCUAGUUGGCUAUAGCCACGAAUGGACCAGGGUCUUCCAAGUCCUAGGUCACUGCUCCCCACACCACGCAACUGGUCUGCAUUUAGACAUGAGGGAAAGGAAGUUUCACUGAAAGGAAAUUUGGAAGUUCCAUUAAGUGUAUGACUUUGGAGCUAUAACAAGACUUGUCUACAAGGUGAGGAUGUGGACUACCUAGAAGAUUCUCGAGUAUAGUGGUUUAAAUUGGUGGGCUCUAGAAUUAGGCUACCUGCGUUCAGAUCCCAGCCGUGUCAUUUCCUAGUUGUUCGCCCUGGACGAGUUGCUUAUCCUCUCUGAGCCUCAGUGUGCUCAUCUAUAAAAUGGAAGUAAUAACAGCACCUACUUCGUGGGGUGGUGAAGGUGCCCAGAUGAGGCUACAGAUAGAAUGGUAUGCUGAGCCUAAGUGAGGUCCUGACACAUAAGCACAGAUGCACAUUACCUAUGAUUAUUACUGACCACCAUUACCGUCUUCAUCAUCGUUGUGACUUUACUCCAGGGAGACUUUUACAACUUGACCUAAGUAAACCCUUAGUUCAGGAGUUCACUCGUCUCAGGUUGCUCCUUCAUCCCAAACCUCUGUCCCUCUGGUCUCCCGGGCUAGAAGUUUUGUAACCAUCUUUGCGCUCUCUCCUUCACGCUCAUGGUCGGUCUGUCACCAAGUCCUGUCUUGUUGGUUUAAAAUGUUUCUGCCUUCCUCUUCAUUCCCAGGCUAACUCAGGUCCUGAUUCCCUCAGGCUGGGAUUACUAGUCAAGGCUCCUAGCUUCUUUUUCCUGGCUAUGGACAGAAAUCUGUAGCCUGCCUUCCUUCCCCAAUCUGUCCUAUGUGUCACUGCCAGACUGACCUUCCUGAGACACUGCUUUGAUCCUGUUUCCCCCUCCCCUGGAAUCUGUAAUGAGUCUAUUGUCUGCCGAAGCCAGGCCGAGCUCCCUUGCCUGACCCCCAGGUCCUUCUAGCACAUCUCUAUCCAACAGACAUAUAAUGCCAGCCAUACACAAAUUGUAACCUCGUCUAGUAGCCACGUUAAGGAGUAAAAAGAAACAGGUGGAACUUUUAGUAAUACAUUUUAUUUAACUGCGAAAAUUUAAAACACUAUCACUUCGGCACGUAACCAAUAUAAAAGUAAAUCCUGAGAUAGUGUCAUUCUUAUUUUUCUUCUAAGUCCUCCAAACGCCGCAUGGAUUUUACACUUACCUCACAUCUCAAGUCAGACUAGCCGUGUUUUGGGGGUUUUGUUUUUGUUUUUUGGUUUUUUUAGAGGGCAGGGAAGGGGCAGAGGGAGAGAGAGAGAAUCCCAAACAGGCUCUGCUCUCAGUGUGGAGCCGAUGCGAGGCUCGAUCCCCAAUCCUGCCACUAUCACCCCCACAAACAAGACCGACUUAAGUCUUACUUCUUCCUGGUUUCGGCAAACAAAAUAGGGACAGUAAUACCAUGCCUAUUUUAUAGGGUUGUCCUAACCAAAUGUGAAAUGUGGAAGUACUUGGUAAGCUGUAAAGGUUCCAUAAGAAUGUAUGGAACUCAUUAUCGUGAGUCAAGAUUUUACUGACCUGAGAGUAGCGUACCUGUGGAGUAAUUUGGAAGAAAAGACUGUGUUAAGAAGACUGUAUUAGGAAACGGGCUGUCCUGAAUUCAUUUCUAUAAAAAAAAAAAAAAAAUCAACUCCAAACAAUGAGCGAGAAAUAGAAACACGGACUUUCUGCCACUAGCCCUUCAUGAUUAUCUUUUGGGAAGAAAUUUGUCACAUUAAUGAAGUUCUCAAGAUAGUGAGAUUAAUCCAUAGGCUCUUUCCCCUUCGGCAUGGUGAGGAAUGCGUUUAGGGGCUUUUAGUUCUUGCGUUGUUCAGUUCAUUGCAAACAAUUGGGAUUGACCUGAUAACAGAAUGCCAGCGAUUCAAGUGCAGGAAUGAUUUGUAAAAUGCUUCCUUCCAAUCCAUAGGCUAAAGAGAAAUCGAAAGAGCAAUUAUUCCGACAGAUUAAUUAGCAAGACUCUGAACAAUCGGGACACGUUAUUUUCCAUAUGGAGGAGUUACAGGGUGCUUGCCUAAGUGGUACCCACAUCUUACCCCAGCCCUUUACCAAACCAAGCUGUCUGCUCAUUUUUCUUUAGUCAUGCCGCGGACUGCUUUGCGGCUCCCAGGAGUUCAGUGCUCGCUGUGGGUAUAAUGCGGAAUUUACAGUGUGGAAGUAAGAUUGCUCCGUGAAGUAACUCCGAGAAAGCAGUCAACUUUGUAAAGUGGAUUGUGAGGGAAGGGCCCACCAUUCUCAGGUUUGCCCAGGCCACAAAGCUCGACCUAAUGGAUGACCUGGGUCCUUCGCCCAUCCCUUCUGAUCAGCUCCCAAAUCCUUCUGAUGCCGCCUCUGAAAUUCUUGUUUCAUCGGCAGCCCCUUCUCCUCCCCUCUGCUCUUCCCAUAAGCUAUGGCAACAGUUUCCAAACCAGUUUUCCUGCCUCAAGCUUCAGCCUCCCCUCCACCCCCCAGUUUGUUCUCCAACUCCCCAGCAGAACGAUCUUGCUAAAACACAAAUCUGAUCAAGCCGCUGCCCUGAUUAAAAACCUCAAGUUAUUCCCAGAGCCAACAGAUGAAAUCCAAACUACAAAGCAUUAUACAGCCAGAAGCCCACUUAUCAGCCUUGCCUCCUGCCCUAUCCUUCUGUGGACUCUCCUUCUCUUCCUUGGCCUGCCCCUCCACGCCUGCCAUCAGUGCAGGAUGUCCUUUGCUCCUCUUCCGAUGCCCCAUCUUCCGUGAGGAGCCUUCCCUAACCUUCUGGUCACUUGUCCUUUUAGUGCCCAUAAAUACAUUUCUCAUGCCUCUGUGACAGGAACUCCUCAAGGGCUGAUCCCUUUCUAGAUCUCCAGCGUGCAGUGUUCUGUCCGGUACGGCAUAGUUGGCCCGUGCAAAUUUGUUGAAGAAAGGAAAGAAUUGCUAGUAUCCCUCCCAAAUGCAUACCUUUCUCUUCCACCACAAAGAAGAAAGUUCUAGGUAUUUGAGGAGGACAAUUUCCACACAAGCUUUCUUUGUAACUACGCUUUUAGUGAAAAGGCCAUAAUUGCUUGUGGCCUAAGAUUUUUCUUAGGCCACAAGGAAUUCUCAUGCUCUGCUUUCCCUAGGUACUAAAAGUCAUAUAUACAAUCUGGCCAAAGGGACACGUGGAAAGGUUUUACCUUUAGACCCUUCGAUCUGUAGGAUAUGUCAGGAAUAUUAAAAAAAAAAAAAAAACCCAAC